rnacentral:lncRNA from 1 species
GUGGUUCAAGAGAGCCACAUUAAUUAGCCUUAGAAGAGGAGAUUUAAAGUGAAACUUUGAUGUGCUAUGUAUGAAGAAAUGUAAAAGGAACGACUGUACACUCGAUUUUGGUCUACGGUACAAGUUUGUGGUGAAGCGAAAUUUUGUUGUACGCUGGAGGUGAUUGUCUAAUCUAAACACUAUCAUAUUUUUGUUUCUGUAUUGGUUUAGAGAAUAUGAUCAGUCAUUGUAGUUUUUCUCAGUGAAGUCGUCAUGGACACUGAGGUUCCUAUUACUGAAUGUUGUUCUGGGCAACCUAUCAUGUUUGAUAGAAUCAUUCCGUGUGGGCUGUAGCUGAAGUUCUAUUGAUGCAUUGGCACCUACGGGCUGAAGUUCUAUUGAUGCAUUGGCACCUAUGGCUUUCAC